GAGUUUGAUCUUGGCUCAGAUUGAACGCUGGCGGUAUGCUUAACACAUGCAAGUCGAACGGUAACAGGAGAGAGCUUGCUCUUUUGCUGACGAGUGGCGGACGGGUGAGUAAUGCGUAGGAAUCUGCCUAGUGGUGGGGGACAACGUGUGGAAACGCACGCUAAUACCGCAUACGCCCUACGGGGAAGGACGGGGAGUACUUCGGACCUCGCGCUAUUAGAUGAGCCUACGUUAGAUUGGCUAGUUGGUGGGGUAAAGGCCUACCAAGGCGACGAUCUAUAGCUGGUCUGAGAGGAUGAUCAGCCACACUGGGACUGAGACACGGCCCAGACCCCUACGGGAGGCAGCGAGUGGGGAAUACUUGGUACAAUGGGCGGAAAGCCUGAUCCAGCAAUACCGCGUGUGUGAAGAAGGCCUGAGGGUUGUAAAGC
rnacentral:rRNA from 1 species